rnacentral:rRNA from 2 species
UAGGGAAUCUUCGGCAAUGGACGAAAGUCUGACCGAGCAACGCCGCGUGAGUGAAGAAGGUUUUCGGAUCGUAAAACUCUGUUGUUAGAGAAGAACAAGGACGUUAGUAACUGAACGUCCCCUGACGGUAUCUAACCAGAAAGCCACGGCUAACUACGUGCCAGCAGCCGCGGUAAUACGUAGGUGGCAAGCGUUGUCCGGAUUUAUUGGGCGUAAAGCGAGCGCAGGCGGUUUCUUAAGUCUGAUGUGAAAGCCCCCGGCUCAACCGGGGAGGGUCAUUGGAAACUGGGAGACUUGAGUGCAGAAGAGGAGAGUGGAAUUCCAUGUGUAGCGGUGAAAUGCGUAAAUAUAUGGAGGAACACCAGUGGCGAAGGCGGCUCUCUGGUCUGUAACUGACGCUGAGGCUCGAAAGCGUGGGGAGCAAACAGG